GGGGCUAUAGCUCAGCUGGUAGAGCGCCUGUUUUGCACGCAGGAGGUCAGCGGUUCAAUCCCGCUUAGCUCCA
rnacentral:tRNA from 3 species